rnacentral:rRNA from 1 species
GACGAACGCUGGCGGCGUGCUUAACACAUGCAAGUCGAACGGAAAGGCCCUGCUUUUGUGGGGUGCUCGAGUGGCGAACGGGUGAGUAACACGUGAGUAACCUUCCCUUGACUUUGGGAUAACUUCAGGAAACUGGGGCUAAUACCGGAUAGGAGCUCCUGCUGCAUGGUGGGGGUUGGAAAGUUUCGGCGGUUGGGGAUGGACUCGCGGCUUAUCAGCUUGUUGGUGGGGUAGUGGCUUACCAAGGCUUUGACGGGUAGCCGGCCUGAGAGGGUGACCGGCCACAUUGGGACUGAGAUACGGCCCAGACUCCUACGGGAGGCAGCAGUGGGGAAUAUUGCACAAUGGGCGGAAGCCUGAUGCAGCAACGCCGCGUGCGGGAUGACGGCCUUCGGGGUGUAAACCGCUUUCGCCUGUGACGAAGCGUGAGUGACGGUAAUGGGUAAAGAAGCACCGGCUAACUACGUG